rnacentral:rRNA from 1 species
GACGAACGCUGGCGGCGUGCUUAACACAUGCAAGUCGAACGGAGCGAAUGAAAGCUUGCUUUUAUAAGCUUAGUGGCAAACGGGUGAGUAACACGUAGACAACCUGCCGACAGGAUGGGGACAACAUUCCGAAAGGAAUGCUAAUACCGAAUGAAGUCAGAGAAGGGCAUCCUUUUCUGAUGAAAGAUGGCCUCUAUAUAUAAGCUAUCACCUGUUGAUGGGUCUGCGUCUGAUUAGCUGGUAGGUGAGGUAACGGCUCACCUAGGCGACGAUCAGUAGCCGGUCUGAGAGGAUGAACGGCCACAUUGGGACUGAGACACGGCCCAGACUCCUACGGGAGGCAGCAGUGGGGAAUCUUCCGCAAUGGGCGCAAGCCUGACGGAGCAACGCCGCGUGAGUGAAGAAGGUCUUCGGAUCGUAAAGCUCUGUUGAUGGGGACGAACGUGCCUAAUGCGAAUAGUAU